CGUGGGUAACCUGCCCAAGAGAUCGGGAUAACACCUGGAAACAGAUGCUAAUACCGGAUAACAACAGAUGAUGCCUAUCAACUGUUUAAAAGAUGGUUCUGCUAUCACUCUUGGAUGGACCUGCGGUGCAUUAGCUAGUUGGUAGGGUAACGGCCUACCAAGGCGAUGAUGCAUAGCCGAGUUGAGAGACUGAUCGGCCACAUUGGGACUGAGANACGGCCCAAACUCCUACGGGAGGCAGCAGCC
rnacentral:rRNA from 1 species